UUAUUCAAUCCGACGGAAUGCAAAUUUGACGUCCGCAGAAACUCUCUAACUUUCUCUCUCUAAAAAGGACAGCGCAGAAACAAAAAAAAACAAAAACCAAAGCCCCAACCCAACAAGUGAAACUUGGUUGAAUGAACUUAUACAUACAUGCUUAUCUGUAUGUAUAUGUAUCGAUAUCGAUAUAGAUACAUAAAUAUAUAUAUUUAUAAGCUGAUUGUGACUGCGUGCUUUGGGGCUGAUUGGAAAAGUGGAUAAAGAUAGUUACUUGAGCAGAAAAAGAGAAGCUUUAGGAUGUGAACAGUUAAAGCUUGUAGCUUGGACUUGUUAUUCUGUGAUUUCCAACUUUCUGUUGUUGAUACACAAAGUGUUAUGCCCAGCAGUGAGGGUUCUCCCUUUGUUUUGGCUCAAAACAUGGACUUUGGAAUGUCUAGCUCCGAUUUGGAAAGGAAAUCACUGAUUCAUUUAAUUGAUAUAGUAGAUUCUGCUUGUUGCUCUGUGUAAUUCUUUUUAAUAUAAAGUCUCUAGAUUUGGGGAGUUAGGCUUCAUACAAUUUUAGUGUUCUAUAGUUGGUUAAGUGUUUGUAGAUUGUUAUCUAUUGCAUAAAAACAUGGUUCCACAGGGGCCUCCAAAUCCACUUGGAGGAGGUGCCCAGCCUGUCCCCUCUUUGUUAUUGCGAUCAAAUUCUAGUUUUUUGGGGGGUCAAGGGGGUGGAAUGCCUACCCCGGGUAGUUUCCCUUCUAUUGUGUCACCUCGGACUCAGUUUGGUAACAUGAACAUGCUAGGAAAUUCUCCAAAUGUUUCAUCUCUGCUCCAUCAGUCCUUAGGAAAUGGUGGUCAUAAUCCAGGGCUUCCUGGAAAUGGAAUCUCUCAACGAGUUGAUAAUGUGGCCGAGUCUGAUCCACUGUCCAGUGCUAGCAAUGGUAUGGGAUUUAGUACUCCUUCAACAUCAUUUGGCUCAUCGGCCAUGACAGCAAAUCCAAAUUCAGGUCAAGUUCAGGGACAGCGGUUUCCUAGCCCUUCUGGUAACCAGAUGUUAACUGACCGAUCACCGUCCCAACAACUUGAUUCCCAGAAUUACCAACAUAAUCAACAAUUUCAGCAAUUCUCUGCCCCUAGCAAUUCCCAAACACAGCAACAGCAACAGCAAUUUCAAUCCAUGCCAGGUGGAUUAGGAGGCUUGGGAUCUGUCAAACAGGAGCCCCAGGUGACCAGUGAUCAAACACCACAGCAGUUGCAAGCCCUGCGAAACCUGGCAACUGUAAAGCAGGAGCCCCAACAGAUACAAAGUAUGAGAGGCCUUGCCACUGUGAAGAUGGAGCCACAACAUUCCUCACCCUCUUUGUUUCUACAUCAGCAACAGCAGCGACAACAGCAGCAGCAGCAGCAACAACAGCAGCAGGUACUUCACAUGUCCAAGCAGUCCCCUCAAUCUGCAGCAGCGGCUCAGCUUUUCCACCAGCAGAGGAUUAUGCAGCUCCAGCAGCAGCAGCAGCAGCAGCAACAACAACUCUUGAAGACUAUUCCUCAGCAAAGAAAUCCACUUCAACCGCAAUUUCAACCACAGAAUCAUGCUUUAAGGUCUCCUAUAAAACCAGCUUAUGAGCCUGGGAUGUGUGCCCGUCGGCUGACUCAUUAUUUGUAUCAGCAGCAACACAGACCUGAAGACAAUAACAUAGAGUUCUGGAGAAAAUUUGUCGCCGAGUAUUUUGCUCCACAUGCCAAGAAAAAGUGGUGCGUUUCUAUGUAUGGAAGUGGUCGGCAGACCACUGGAGUUUUUCCUCAGGAUGUAUGGCACUGUGAAAUAUGCAACCGCAAGCCAGGCCGUGGGUUUGAAGCGACUGCUGAAGUCUUGCCCAGGCUUUUCAAGAUAAAAUAUGAAAGUGGGACUUUGGAAGAGCUACUCUAUAUUGAUAUGCCGCGUGAAUAUCAGAAUUCAUCUGGACAGAUUGUCCUAGACUAUGCAAAAGCAAUUCAGGAGAGUGUUUUUGAGCAACUUCGUGUUGUCCGUGAUGGUCAGCUUCGAAUAGUGUUCUCACAACCUGAUCUGAAGAUCGUCUCUUGGGAAUUUUGUGCUCGACGUCACGAGGAGCUAAUCCCUAGAAGAUUGUUGAUACCUCAGGUGAGUCAACUUGGCGCUGCAGCUCAGAAGUACCAGGCAGCCACCCAAAACGGAUCAUCUGCAGCGUCUGUUUCUGAGUUGCAGAAUAACUGCAAUAUGUUUGUUGCCUCAGCUCGUCAGUUGGCAAAAGCUUUGGAAGUUCCGUUGGUAAAUGAUUUAGGGUAUACAAAGAGAUAUGUGCGAUGCCUUCAGUACCACAUGAAUGUGGGGUUGAUACAGUUCUGUAAACCUUACAAUUGUGCUUGAAAUUUGGCCUUUCCAGAGAGCUUGGCUAAGUUUCCUCGUAGGAAUGGUUCAUCGGCUGGGGUACGUGGUGCAGCUCAACCAUCUGAGGAGCAGUCUCAGCAGCAGCAGCAGCCACAGUCUCAGCAGCAGCAGCAGCAGCAGCAGCAACAGCAACAACAUACGGCCAGUCAGAACUCAAACCACGAGAGCUCUGUCCAGGCUGGUGCAAUGCAACUUGCUUCCAGCAAUGGUAUUCUGAGCGAAAACAACCCUUUAAACCCUGCACCUGUUACUUCGACUAGUAGUACUGGUGCUCGGCUAUUGCGCCAAAAUUCCAUGAACUCUAGGCAACAGGCAACAAUGAAUGGUGUGAACAGCCCUUAUGCAGGAAAUGCUGUUCAAAUGCCUUCACCAAGUUCUUCAAAUACAAUGUUACAGUCUCAACAAAAUCUGUCUGCACUCCAAUCACCAACACCGUGUUCAUCAAGCAAUCCGCCACAAACUUCACAUGGUGGCUUAACAUCAGGAUCACACGUGAAUUCUGCCAAUUCCCCGAAUAUUUCAAUGCAUCAAGCCACUCUUUCAGGUGAUAUUGAUGCUAACGACUCUCAGAGUUCUGUACAAAAGAUCAUACACGAAAUGAUGAUGUCUUCCCAACUUGGUGGAGGUGGCCUUGUAGGUGGUGGUGCCACGGGGAAUGAUAUGAAAAGUGUAAAUGGUUUGAUAACAACUGCUAAUAACUCCAUUCUUAAUGGAAGCAGCUGCCUUGUUGGGAAUGGGACAGCAAAUGCUAAUAUUGGUAUGUCUCCAGGAUAUGGCAACAGGGGCAACGGACUGAGCCAGGCUGCAAUGGCCAAUGGAAUUCGGGCUGCAUUAGGUAAUAGUUCUGUGGCUAUGAAUGAAAGGGUUGGCAUGCCAAUGUCAAGAGAGCAAAGUGUGAGUCAACAGCAACAAGAUUUGGGAAACCAACUACUUGGUGGUUUAGGAGCAGUCAAUGGUUUCAGUAACCUUCAGUUUGACUGGAAAACAUCCCCCUAAAGGUUUUGACUUGGCUUUAGCCUAGAAGGUAAGAACAAAGUGACAAGAUCCUUUAGGAGAUAGGGGUGCUCUCUUGUGGUUGUAAUUGCAUAUUUGGUUCUCAUGUGCUGCUUUGUGCUGCAAAGGUGACAUGAUUUUGCCUUGCACACUGAUAGUAGGUAUGAAUCCUGAAGAGCAAUCAUUUCAGGGCUUGCCUAUGUUGUAGUGAUUUGCCCGAGAAGAAAAACAUGUAGCACAGUAAUUUCAUGAUUGAAAUGUUACAUCACCUGAGGUAGCAUAAGAUUCUUCUAACUUGAUUUUGUCUGGUUUAUCACAGCUAUACAUACUUGCACUAACAGCCUUGAAUAGGACAUUCCAGGAGUGACUUGGCACACACUUGUACCUUUUCGAGGCAUUUGUAAACUACCGAAUCUGCUGAGCUCUUGCCCAUCUUGUGCUGUAUCUCUGCCACCACUCCGGAACAUGAGUGUAUAUAGUCUGGAUUGUGUGGAAGGUAUUUUAUAUUAGAACUUCAGGAGCUGGUAGAAAUUGACUUACCACUUGUUCCAUGGUAAUGUGUCUAAUGCAAUCACUUCAUUUCUCCUCUCUCCAGACACCUACUAUGUUUUUGUAUCAAUUAUGCAGUUUUGAUU